CUGUUUUUCUACUUAAAAAACAUUCAUUUAAAAUUCUAUCAGAAAGUCAUACGCCUAAAAAAUUCAUUACCUCCCUUCUCAUUAUACAUGAGCCUUAAAAUUAAAUAUUCUCCCAAUCAUCUAAGAGACCACCACUUAACAGUAUAUUAGAUGCAAAAAAUAUCUCAGAUUUUCCCCAUGGGUGUAAAGUUUAAACAUUCAAAUUUGCAAAAGAGAAGCAAACUGGAAUAAAGACAUUCACAGCCAGCUAUUUCAUAUCCAUUAGUUAUCAUAUACACAUCAAAUACAUACAGCAAUGAGACCAAAUAUACAGAAUCUCCACAUUUAUAUACAGUAAUCAACAUAGUGCACAAUUCAAAUCUAUCUUACAAUCAAGUGUACAAGUUUAAAUAUGGCUUUAUAAACUACUAACAAUAACUGUGCUAAAGGAACUCAUAGGUCCAGAAGUAAACACUGGAAUGCCGCCUCCAUAUCGAGGCCCUCGUUCAGCAAGAUGCUAUCCACUGUGUUUGCAAAACAGAGGGUGCGAGUCAUUGUUUCCGGGCAGUGUCCACCCAUCAGCCCCCAAGCAGCUGAAAUGUAGGUUCAAUUAUACCAACAUUGGCCCCUCCUAUCUCAGGUAUCUGAAAAUAAAUCUGUACAUCUUCCACACAUUUGGAGACACGGGGUAAUAAACAAAUAGAAGAAAAACAAAUAAUCAGUGAGGUGAUGAUUACCAGGAAUUAUCAAAACGUGCUUUUCAGAUUCAGAAAUUCUCAGGCAUGAGAGUCAGCAUUUGCAUUAUUGAGGUUUUUCCCUCCCUCCUUUCUUUGCUUGUUUUGCUUAAAUCAGCGUACUGAGAAAAUUUUCAGGAAUUUAAGAGAUGUACUAUAUCAAGUGGUCCCCAAAACAGAAUUGAAAAGAGUUCUUAUAAAGGUAACAUCUAAUUAUUCACUCUUUUCUUCUAGCCAAAAAUGGCUCUUAAGAAUGAAUGAAUGAAUAACCUUGAUCUAAAAUCAUGCUUCCAUGCCUAUUUUACAUCUACUUGCCCACCAACAAUAUAGACACACUCUCUAACCAACUGCUGCCUUCUACGUGCUACCUUUA
rnacentral:lncRNA from 1 species